ACUCGCAGGGCUCUCACUGCUCGCGGUGCGGCAGCCGCGCGCGGACUCCGCUGCGCCUCCGAGGGGGCCAGGCACGCGGUCAAGAUCUGUGGCCACUGGUUCCCAUGGUUUCGAGGCACCAUGAGGCACGCUGGCUCUUGGAAACUUUGGCUCUGGGCAGCACUUCUCCUGCUUCCUGCUUCCACUUCCGUGACGGUUAGGGACAAGCCAGAAAAGCAGUGUCCUGUACUGAGAACAGAGGAGCAUCAGUUUACACAAGACAAUGGAGAUAAACUUGAAGUUUCAGGUUUUGACCUAGGAGAGAGUUUUUCUAUGAGACGUGUGUUUUGUGAAGGUGAUAAAACCUGUUUCAAAUUGGGAAGUUCUCUUCUUAUUAGAGACACCAUGUUGAACUUCACCAACUUAAAAUCUACUGUGACUUGAACUUCAUAGCUCAAGAAACUUGUUGUGAGAUGUCAGACACUAAGUGCCCAGAGCAGGUUGGCUUUGGAAGUACUGCAUCUUUAUCAGUACCUGCGUAUGCCAGUCGAAUGUCUGCAUUUCUGCCAGCAAAGCAGGAACUAACAGACCAGUGCCAGUGUAUUCCAGAGAAGGGAGAAGCAGGAUUACAGGGAGCUCCAGGCUCACCGGGCCAGAAAGGAGACAAAGGACAGCAGGUAAGACACCAUCCAGUGCUGUCAGGAUGCAAGAGGAUUUGUCCAAAAGUGACUUUAAACUUGUGUCCAGCUCAUUUUUCUAGUCCCAUAUAAAUGCACAUUUCCAUAAAAAAGGCUGUCAAGGGCUGUAUUUAAGUGCUGUGCUGACCACUGAAAUAAAGAAGACUGAUAUCAGCAUGCAAGUCUGCUUUGGAGAAUCCUAUUGAAGGCUGGCCUAAAAUAUGGAAAGAUUAGGAAAUCUAGAUCUUUGUACCUGUUAAACCACAAGCAAAACCGCAAAGCAAGAAAGUUUGUUUUUCAGUGGUUUUGUAGCUUUCUUUAGCAUUCUCUUCUCCAAAUGCUUGAUGAACUUCUGAUGCUCUUGUCUGCUGAUAGGUCUCCACUGAAGAUUUUUCCUUACCCUUUAUUCAGGGGUGUAAACACCUUUGUUGAACACUUUCUCUGCGUAAGGCCUAGUGUUGGGUGUUAGAGGGGGUAGACAGAAGGGGAUCCAUUCCCUUUUCUCCAUGAUUUUAAAUCUGGGAGAAGACAGAAGACCUUAUCAGACCGCAUGUGUUAGGUGCUGUAGGAGCAUUUCAGGGGUCCUCAGGGAACUGUCUGGGGAGACUGGGGAGAGUUUCCUGGAGGAGAUGGUAAGUGAAAGGACCUGUGAGAAUCUGAUUCUAGCCAGUAUCCACACCUAGAGACUGCCUUUCCCUUCUCCCUAUCCCUUUUAUAACUGAACUAUUCAGUUCCCCACUCUUUUGAGUCAUGUCUUUUUUUCAACCAGUUUUUUUUUUUAAUUGAAGUACAGUCAGUUUACAGUGUUGUGUUAGCCUCAGGUGCACAGCAAAGUGACUGAAUUAUACAGGCAUAUAUAUUCUUUUUUCAGAUUCUUUUUUUUUUAAUAUCCAGCAGAUACUCAUUUUUUUAUUUUAAUGAUUUUUAUUUUUUUCCAUUGUGAGAUUCUUUUCCAUUAUAGUUUAUUACAAGACAUUGGAUGUAGUUCCCUGUGCUAUACAGUAGGUCCUUGUUAGUGUUCUAUUUUAUAUAUAGUAAUAUGUAUCUGUUAAUCCCAAACAUGUAUCUUCCCACCUCCUCUAUCCCCUCUAGUAACCAUAAGUUUGUUUUCUAUGAGUCAUGUCUCUUGUUAGCUCACUAGGUAGAUUAAUUUCUGCCAAGGUUAGAGUUGGUUAUGUUCUUACUAUCUUUCCAAGGUAAAAUAGUUUAAAUUCUUUUCAUGCCUUAACUUGGAAAUCCAAAGCUUUAAAUUGUUUAUAUAAUCUACAUGGACUCCUUAUUUUAAAAGGCUCAUAAGCAGAUUAAUUUAUGCCAAGAUUAGGAGUUGAUUAUAUCUUUCCAUGGAAGAUACAAUAGUAGACUUUCCUUUGGGAUCAUAGACCAAGAAUGGAGAGUUCCCUGGUGGCCUAGUGAUUAAGGAUUCAGCUUUGUCACUGCUAAGUUACCUGAAGUUCCCAUGGAAAAUAAAGAACUCAUAGAAAACAAACUUAUUAAGCACCUCAGUGGCUUCUGCUUGAGAGGAACUGUUUGGGGUAGGAUGGGUGUUUAUUUUUAAAGGCUGAGAAAUGACUGAUUUCACCAAGCUGCACAACAAGCUUCAACCAAGCCAUUCUUGGUUGGGUUCUUUUUUGGCCAAACCCACAACAUACAGAAGUUCCCAGGCCAGGGCUCAAACAUCAUCCACCUUAUAAACAAUAAUAUUCAGUAUUAUUUAUGUGUGGUCUUUGGUCAGGUUACUUCCACUUGUAAUAUCUUAUUUUGUCCUUAUCACCUAAGAAUGUAAAUCUAAUAUUUGUAUCCUCAUUUUGCAACUGAGAGAACCGUGCUUUCAAAAUCAUUAUAAUACUGAAGUGCACUUUUUAUUAUGUGAAAGCUUAAAAUAAUUGAGCAAUAUCUAGUUCUAAAGACUAUUUUUAUUAAUUAAUUAAUUAAUUUAUUUAUUUAUUGGCCCUGCACUCAGCAUGCAGAAGUUCUGAGGCCAGGGUUCUAAAGGCUAUUUAAAUCAAACUAAACAUUAAAAAUUACAGCAAUCUGGAGUUCCCAUCAUGGCGCAGUGGUUAAUGAAUCUGACUAGCAUCCACAAGGACGCAGGUUUAAUCCCUGGCCUUACUCAGUGGGUUAAGGAUCUGGCAUUUCCGUGUGCUGUGGUAUAGGUUGCAGACUCAUCUUGGAUCCUGUGUUGCUGUGGCUGUGGCAUAGGCCGGCAGCUAUAGCUCCAGUCUGACCCGUAGCCUGGGAAACUCUAUAUGCCAUGGUUGCGGCCCUAAAAAGAAAAAAAAAAAAA
rnacentral:lncRNA from 1 species